UCCCUGGUGGUCCAGUGGCCAAGACUCUGCACUCCCAAUUCAGGGGGCCCAAGUUCAAUCCCUGGUCUGGGAA
rnacentral:tRNA from 1 species